CAGAGGGUGCAAGCGUUAAUCGGAAUUACUGGGCGUAAAGCGCGCGUAGGUGGUUUGUUAAGUUGGAUGUGAAAAUCCCCGGGCUCAACCUGGGAACUGCAUUCAAAACUGACUGACUAGAGUAUGGUAGAGGGUGGUGGAAUUUCCUGUGUAGCGGUGAAAUGCGUAGAUAUAGGAAGGAACACCAGUGGCGAAGGCGACCACCUGGACUAAUACUGACACUGAGGUGCGAAAGCGUGGGGAGCAAACAGGAUU
rnacentral:rRNA from 1 species